CUGAACAAGAACGUCGACAGCGCGCAUCUUGCGUUACUUUUGUUCCCUGGGCGCGUUUCGUCUACGUUGGUUCUUUGACGUUUACAGCCUUUUACUUCCAGCAAAAGAUCUUUGCUACUUGUUUGAGCAACGCCGUAAUCAAACCAACAUCAAGCCAACAUCCAGAUCGAGCAGCUAACCAGACCACUUUCCCACAGAACGGCGAUUCGGUUGUGAAAAAGUUUAGCGGCGACAUGGCCGAGGCGAUACUAAGUGUUGCGAAGAUUGCGGAAGUAGCUGGCCACUGUUAUAGCGCUGGAAGGACGGCGCAUCGUGUUUCCCAGAAUGCAAAUUAAAGGCAAACCUUUUUAGGUUGCGGCCUUAACAUCAUCAUCAUGGAUGUGUGGGAAAAACGCCAACAUAACUUUCACCAACGAGAAGCUCCUUUUAAUGGUAUUCAGUCACGGCGAUACGUGGACGAACCCGUCGCUUACCGUAAUUGACCUCACCGACUCCAACCAGCCUCAUGUUAAAGAGACAAUCGUCUUCGAAAGACAUGCUCUAAAUAUGAGCAGUAUCACACGGUUUACUAUAAGUUCUGACGAUCGCUUUAUCCUUGUACAAGACGGGGCUAAUGUAGCCUGGUUAGUUGAAAGGAAUAACGUUGAUGGAAAGAAAGUCAAACUGAAUCAGGGUCGUCCUGUUUAUUUUUCUCAAUGGUUACGUCACCACGGGAUUCUGCUGGUGUCCAGCAGCGAAACCAUCCAUGUAAAUACGUUCAAUAACUACGUCUUUCGAAGACAACGGAUAAAGAAAGGGUUGAAAGGGCAGAUGGUUACGGACUGUCAGGAAAGCCAGCUUGACAACUGGUACUUCGCUGCGGUAAUUCAGCUUAAUACUCAUCAACCGAAAGGAUUUCUGGAACUUUACUGCAUUAGGGAUUAUAAGAUCGUGCCAGAGGUUAUUGACGGAUUUGCUGGUACAUUCUUGUACGCAAGUCAUGCGGCUUCCAAGAGAUUUUGGUUGCCGAUGUUGAUUGGCAAGGAGAUUGCCUGAUUUUAAGAAACACCAAGCUAAAACAGGAAGACUCCAUAAGAAUGGGAAAAUAUGUAUCUGUUAUUAAAACAUUAAGCAUACGUACCGCGAUUCUGACCGGGGAAAACUGCAAAUUUAAAGCGGAAAACGAUAUUCCCGUUGCGGUUAGGGUGGAAGACGGUGGUACUGAUUGCCCUCUUGCAAUUGUUGUGACCAAGAAAGGAUAUAUGCAUUUAUUCGACUACCGCAUUAUGUGCCAUUUGGAGUCGAAGCGAAUUUUCACCGGUAUCGCUACCGUUUCCGUUGUGGGACCUUUACGCAAGCCGGGGCUACUGACUGUUGUAGAUAGCGAAGGAAAAGUAUGGGAAGCUGCAGUCUCCCUGGAAAAUAUUGUGCCGGUUCUUGUAGCUAAACAUUCACCCCGCGAAUCGGUAGAAUACGCUCUGCUGUGCAAGCGUCCAUUGAGGAACGAUGUUUUCAUGUCGACAUUCGAGGGUCUAUUACGUUACGAUAAACCAGAUUUCGGUGCCAUUCUUCCCUUCUGCUUGUUAAACACCGGUCAUUUGACAGUGGUUCAGAGUCAGCAAGUGCUUACUGAGUGCUUUAGAGGUUCACUGGGAAUACUGCACUUUUCAGGAUAUAUAACACAGCUCUCUCUGCAGUUAUUCCAGCGGGUCAGCUUGGAAUGGGUGGUUGCUCUUUAUGAGCGUAAUGAGACUGCUCCCAAUGGCGGAGGUCUUCUUAAGCUGCUAAAUGUUCUUAGACUCCAUUUGAUGUCUAGCAGCGCUUGCCGAGGGAAACAUGCUGGAACUGGCCAAGAAAAUGUUUGUCGAAGGAAAAUGCUGGGCAGAUGCUGUGCGCGUGCAGGUACAGCUUUCGGAGAGGAGUAAAGAUUUCCUUGCCGUUAAAGAAUUAGCGUGCAUGAGCGGAGAUCCCACCCUGUUGACUGAAGUUGGCAAAAUCUGUUUGGACAACGGUCAUCUAAAUUACGCCAUGCAGUGCUUCUUAGAUGCGAAAUGCUUCACCUAUUAUAACGAAAUAUGUCUGCUGGCGCAGAUGGACAGCACCAACUGUGAAUGGAAUUUACUUAUUCGGUUUCUGGAAGGCAUGCAACCCCCGGUCAAGAAUUCCCGCUAUACUGUAACGCUUGCGCUGGCCUAUGGAAGGGCACAUCGUCUCGCAGAUUUGAACAACCUCGUGGCCGAAGGGACCGGUUCAGCGGCUUCUCCCGAGUCUAAGCUCUGCCGAAUAUGCGAAGAUGGUCCCAAGCAAAUGGUGUUUGGGCCAUGCGGCCACCUGGUCACCUGUGAAGAAUGUUCCAAGAAGGUCGAUUUGUGUCCAGUUUGCCGCAGCCCAAUACAGCAAAAGAUGAGAACAUAUGACUCGUAAAAAGGGAAUCAUGAGUGCCUUAUAGCUUUGCAAACUAUUGUCCCGGUUCACCCUGGAGCUUGAAAAAACCGAGAACCACCAAAAUAUGACGAACUGUAGCUGUACGUACAUUAGCAGCUACAUACUAAUUCUAAUGUAUUGUAGCAAUAAAUAUGGCGCAUCUACAUGUUAACCGGAGAAAUGGAUUUCGGUUGUUUAUUAGUGUUUAACUUAUCUUAGUAGUGAAGUAGUGUGCCCACGUUUGCAAUCUUUUGUUAAGUAUUGUACUGGCUUUUGCCUGUUAAAGUAUACGAAGUGGAAAAUCGAGUAAUGCAUGGGCUUCUGUAAAACAUUAUGAGAUUCUGGGUUUAUAACCACUUUAUCGCAAACUGGAAAAUACGUCCACGGACUG